UCUUUUUCCCCCGGAGCUUGCUCCACCGGAAAAAGANGAGUGGCGAACGGGUGAGUAACACGUGGGUAACCUGCCCAUCAGAAGGGGAUAACACUUGGAAACAGGUGCUAAUACCGUAUAACAAUCNAAACCGCAUGGUUUUGAUUUGAAAGGCGCUUUCGGGUGUCGCUGAUGGAUGGACCCGCGGUGCAUUAGCUAGUUGGUGAGGUAACGGCUCACCAAGGCCACGAUGCAUAGCCGACCUGAGAGGGUGAUCGGCCACAUUGGGACUGAGACACGGCCCAAACUCCUACGGGAGGCAGCAGUAGGGAAUCUUCGGCAAUGGACGAAAGUCUGACCGAGCAACGCCGCGUGAGUGAAGAAGGUUUUCGGAUCGUAAAACUCUGUUGUUAGAGAAGAACAAGGAUGAGAGUAACUGUUCAUCCCUUGACGGUAUCUAACCAGAAAGCCACGGCUAACUACGUGCCAGCAGCCGCGGUAAUACGUAGGUGGCAAGCGUUGUCCGGAUUUAUUGGGCGUAAAGCGAGCGCAGGCGGUUUCUUAAGUCUGAUGUGAAAGCCCCCGGCUCAACCGGGGAGGGUCAUUGGAAACUGGGAGACUUGAGUGCAGAAGAGGAGAGUGGAAUUCCAUGUGUAGCGGUGAAAUGCGUAGAUAUAUGGAGGAACACCAGUGGCGAAGGCGGCUCUCUGGUCUGUAACUGACGCUGAGGCUCGAAAGCGUGGGGAGCAAACAGGAUUAGAUACCCUGGUAGUCCACGCCGUAAACGAUGAGUGCUAAGUGUUGGAGGGUUUCCGCCCUUCAGUGCUGCAGCUAACGCAUUAAGCACUCCGCCUGGGG
rnacentral:rRNA from 1 species